ensembl:vault_RNA Vault Vault RNA
AUGCUGGGUAGCUCAGGUGAUACUUCAACUUCCGCGGGCCCGAGGUUCGAACCCCGGGCGCAGUCCAGCGUUUUU